CUCCACCAUUCAUCUAUGUAACAGCUACCAUUAACGUCAUUCUGAUACUUUAAGCCAUGCAUUAAUGUCUCUUGCACCACUUCUCCCACUCUCUCUCGAAUUAAAUCAGCCAUGGCAUCCUCCAAGUAACCGUACUGAACCUUCACCUAUAAAUGUCUUUGUUGCUUAAGAUGAACAGACACACCUAAACGAAAUCCCGAAGGUCUCUCUCUAUUAAAUGCCUUCUUUCUAACUCACGAUUUCAAACCCAUGAAACAACACUGGAACCAUCGCCACUCCAGCUUCAUGAUUUGAUGACCGGCCACUGUAGACAUAUUGUUGUUACGCGUGGAGAGAUCUAAAACUUCCAAGUUACUAAGCUUCAGCCCACCUAAAACUUUCCCAGGAAAAUAUAGGGUCUUGGAAGAGAAGUGAAGAAAUUUCAGGCCGAUGCAAGAACCAAGGCUUGAGAAAGUAGAUAUAUGACAUGAAUAGGGUUCUUCGAUAGAUCCAAGCUGGUGAAUAGAAAAAAAGUAAUUGAAACCAGAAACGGUGAGGAACAAGAGAGACAAAGUCAUACCAUUAAAUCAGGUACACAUGUUUUUUGUUGGAGACCGAUCUGGUGAGAGAUUCUUGUCAGGAAGAAUUUUUGGAUCUUAUAACUAAUGGAUUUCUCUGUACAAAUACUGAUAUGGUGAUGUGUUUAUUAUGUGUUGCUGAUGUACUUUCUACUGAACCCAUCGCAAUGACAGUAUCGGAUAAGUGUUUUAAUGGGAAGACUGUUUAGGUUAAUACUCGUGUCAAGUAGACAACGCCUAAACUCACCAAUACAAAGCCUUUCCGACUAUGACCGAUGUAUGAUGUGCAGUAAUAUGCAAUUUUUGAUUGAUUUUUUUCUUUGAUGGAAGAAUAAUAACAUGUUUCUAGAAAAAAAAACCUCAAAAAGACGCAAACGCGGAGAAGAAACCACAACUUUCUCUUGUCAAAGAAGAAGAAUAUAAAAACAUUAUUGGCUUCCAUGGUGAAAACUUGGGUCCUAAACAUCAGUAAGCUCGACUGGAGAAGAACACAACUUCCAGGUCAAAAGCUUUUACAGGAACAUCCACAACACUUUGAUAGACAGGAUGCAUAUGAAUAUAUGGUGAAUUGCAAGAGGUUGCAUCAGGUACAAAGAAGCAAGUGGCAAGCAAAAGAGUUAUAACAAUGGAGGACACCUCAAAGAUGAAUGGUGAAUCUCAGGAAGCUACACAGCCUACACUAAUCAACAAACCUUUUGUUUGUGUUGUUUCUUCAGGGGAUAAAAGACCUUUAACUGUCCCAAAGGGACCAAACUUCAUGUACCUAAGAGCUGUUGUACAAAUAGAGUGGCAUUACUUGUCUAAAAUCUCUGGUUUACUCCACACGGGAGUUUUGUAAUUUGGUUUGAUUUUUGAGAAGUAACAGAAGUGAGUUUUUUUUAGUCUGUAUAAAAAACACAUGCUCAUCGUUAGUAUUAGUGAGCUCAGAGGAGAACUUGUAGUGUUGA